AUAAUGUUUGAAAACCAUUUUCCUAGGCAGUGGCAAGAGGGAUUUAUUUGUAGCUAGUUGUGUGAUUGUGUUUUAGAAAAAAAAAAAAAAGAUGUAGCAGAGAGCACUGGGCAGAGGAAGAGGAUGACAGCCGCACUCCUAGAACAGAGCCAUUUCCCAGCGCCGGGAGUGUGGGCUCACACCAGAGGGAGAAAACGGAUAGGAAGCUGAGUCCACUCAGCAUCUUCCGGGGUGGCAGCAAAAUCCUACACUGGUUUCAAGGUAAGGCUUAGGGAGAGCGAAUGUUCCUAAAACUGAGUUAUUCGAGGGAUUAAAAAAAUUAGCAGCUGCCCUCAAAACUGUAACUCAGAGAAAAAAGAGAAACUCAUGCAAAGAGAGAGGGUCACUGCUUCCAGAUCUACGUCUGACGGUUUGACGUCAUCACAGAA
rnacentral:lncRNA from 1 species